UUUUAAUUUAUUUGGGAUAUAUUAUUUGUUGCAAGAAGUCCGUGCAAUAAGCUGUCAAAUAAUUGUGAAGGUCGGAGGAAAUGGUCGCCGGCGAAUGGGAGAAUAUCGCUGUGCACGGAGAGCAUUCAAGCAUGGGAGUAUCUAAAGGAGAGAGAGCUGAAGAUGAUGAAGAAGUUCAUAAUUAAAAUCGCUGAGAUGUGGUUUCAACUCCCAACUUGGCUAUAUCAUGGGCUGCUUUGUGUAUGUACUAUUGCAAGUGCGUGAGCUUCAUCGAAUUGGAUGAACUAUUGUGUAGUAAGUUAAAAGCUCUAGCAACUAUUCCUAGGGGCCUUUGAUGAUGGAGGCCAGCGCGACCCGCCGUUCAAGCGAACCGCUUUCUCGUCCUUCCAUCCAUUCAAAAAAGCAAAGAACUCCACACUUGUCAGAGGAUUAUGGAGCAAGUAAUCAGUUUCCUAUUCCCUAAUAAGCUGCAACACCUUUGGUUGAAUAUUUCUACAAGCCUUUACAUUGAAGAAUAGAGCCAUUUGAGCAUCUUAUUGGAGGUCAUUCAUCCCCUUCCAAUUCCAGUCUCAUCUAAACAAGCUUUUUUAGAAAGUGAUGGAAACUCUUUUGAUUUAGUGAUCAUUUUUUCUUCACAAAUCUCUCUUUGUCACUUCUUUCUUUCUGGUCAUUGUGGAUGGUGAUGCUGUCUCCAACUAUUGGAAUGGUUAUGAAAAAAACUCAACUGACAUGAUCAAUUGUCUCUGUGUUACCUUUUUAUCAUGAUUUGAGUCCACUUAUUGAUCAUAAGGGGGUCUAAUUACUUGGAAAAUGAAUGUUGAUAAUUCCUUUUAGAUGAAGAAUACUAUUGGUGGUGCUUGA